CCUGGAGUAGCCGCAGGUUUAAAUUUGUUCACUCUUACUCGCUUUCUAACCUUGUGCAAGUAACCUAGCCUCUGGACCUCGGUGUCCCUGUUUGUAUAAAUAGAGAUAACCAUAUAUACGCUACACGUGGACAGGCUUCUCCACCAUGCACGUCACAGUUAGACCCUGGAUAAUGACUAAUGGCCUCAGCAGGUGAAAAAUGCCUUUAUUCAUGAACAGAGCUUCAUUACACUGCUCCUGCCUAUGCUGAAAAUUUUGCUGGCUUCAAGUAAAAGAUCCUGUGCUGAUAAAUCUCAAUGGUCCAUCCACAUGCGAGCCAGCAUUUAAUUAGGAGUACUGGUCGUUUGAAGAUCAUUGUACCCUGUGAUGUGACGUGGAGAAACGACCAUCACACACUGUGAUGACUAUGCUCCUUUCUCAUAUCUGCUCAUUAGAG
rnacentral:lncRNA from 1 species